rnacentral:lncRNA from 10 species
AACUGGUGACACACAUAAUGGGAAACUCCCAGCUUCCCUUAGGAAAAGUGGUUACAUGGGUGAGCGUCAGGCCUUAUGCUUGGAAUUAUGGGGUACAGGUCUGACCGAAGCCCUCUCAUUCCUGCUUUGCCUUUAGCAGACUGAGAGGAACACUGAGCCCCUCAAAGGAGAGCUCCCCACAGGAAGGAAAAGUCAGCCUAAGAGGGAGCGAAAUCCAUGAAGCUGAGUUGCCAGAAUCCCUCCACAGGCCACCCAAGCAGCGAAGAAAUUCAUGGAGAGAAAGAAAGAAAAGACCCACAGCCUGUUAUUUGGGAGGACAGCAAGAAGAGGAUAGCUGGCAAGAUUACAUCCUACCACAUAGGCCAGUCUGGAGAUGAAAAGGACCCUAAGAAAUGAAUUGUACAAAGAUUAACAAACGCGAACCCUUUGCUGGAGUUUACAUUGUAAUACAGACCCUUCAUGAUGUGGCCAGGCAUGUCAAGGCCAUACAGACAAGAGAAGACAAACAUUCAGCCUAGAUAUGGAGAGGCAGCUGAAUAUUUACAUUACCCAACAGAGCAAAGGUGAGUGCAUUUUGGGAUGGACGGAGGGCAGGCUGUCCACACGGUGUGAUUUGACUAAAUAUUGUUGGUGAUUCAUUUCUCAAAAAUAUAUCAACUCCAUUGCUUGUCAUAUGUUCUGAAAUUUUAGCUCUUUCUUUUG